ACCCGCUGAAUUUAAGCAUAUAAGUAAGCGGAGGAAAAGAAACUAAAUAGGAUUCUCUUAGUAAUGGCGAAUGAACUGGGAUGAGCUCACCAUGGGAAUCGGGGUCUUCGACCUUGAAUUGUAGUCUUGAGACGCACCGCCAACAGAGGCGCAGGUGUAAGCCUCUUGGAAGAGAGCAUCGCGGAGGGUGAGAGUCCCGUCUGUCACCUGCAGUCCCCUGUGUACGGCAUGCGUUCUGAGAGUCACGUUCCUCGGGAUUGGAGCGCAAAUUGGGUGGUAAGUUUCACCUUAAGCUAAAUAUUGGUCCGAGACCGAUAGCAAACAAGUACCAUGAGGGAAAGGUGAAAAGGACUUUGAAAAGAGAGUUAAAAGUGCUUGAAAUUGCUGAAAGGGAAGCGAAUGGAACCAGUUCUGCUGGGCGAGAUUGUCGCAUGCCAAGGCCCUGUGCCGGCCGCAUGCGGUGCUUCUUGCCUUGUGUGUCAGCUGCGGUCCGAAGUUGGGGAAAACUCUGGGGACAUGGAUGCCAACCUCCGGGGGGGUGAAUGUGCCUGGCAAGACCCGUCCUUGGACUGUGAGCAGUGCUUCGGCAUGUUUGCGGUGCUGACGAAAUGCUUCUAUUCGACCCGUCUUGAAACACGGACCGAGGAGUCUAACAUGUGUGCGAGCUCACGGGUGUCAAACCUGCUUGCGCAAUGAAAGUGACUGCUGGGAUACUUGCACCAGCAACCGAUCUGUCAACUGAGAGAGAUUUGAGUUUGAGCAUACCUGUUAGGACCCGAAAGAUGGUGAACUAUGCUUGUGUAGGGCAAAGCCAGGGGAAACUCUGGUGGAGGCUCGUAGCGAUACUGACGUGCAAAUCGUUCGUCAAAC
rnacentral:rRNA from 1 species